rnacentral:rRNA from 1 species
AACGAACGCUGGCGGCAUGCCUAACACAUGCAAGUCGAACGAGACCUUCGGGUCUAGUGGCGCACGGGUGCGUAACGCGUGGGGAUCUGCCCUUUGCUUCGGAAUAACAGUUAGAAAUGACUGCUAAUACCGGAUGAUGUCGUAAGACCAAAGAUUUAUCGGCAAAGGAUGAACCCGCGUAGGAUUAGCUAGUUGGUGGGGUAAAGGCCUACCAAGGCGACGAUCCUUAGCUGGUCUGAGAGGAUGAUCAGCCACACUGGGACUGAGACACGGCCCAGACUCCUACGGGAGGCAGCAGUGGGGAAUAUUGGACAAUGGGCGAAAGCCUGAUCCAGCAAUGCCGCGUGAGUGAUGAAGGCCUUAGGGUUGUAAAGCUCUUUUACCCGGGAUGAUAAUGACAGUACCGGGAGAAUAAGCUCCGGCUAACUCCGUG